rnacentral:rRNA from 1 species
UACGGAGGGGGCUAGCGUUGUUCGGAAUUAUUGGGCGUAAAGCGCACGUAGGCGGUUUGUUAAGUCGGAUGUGAAAUCCCUCGGCUCAACUGAGGAAGUGCAUCCGAAACUGGCAGGCUUGAGUACUAAAGAGGGUCGCGGAAUUCCCGGUGUAGAGGUGAAAUUCGUAGAUAUCGGGAGGAACACCGGUGGCGAAGGCGGCGACCUGGGUAGAUACUGACGCUGAGGUGCGAAAGCGUGGGGAGCAAACAGG